ACUGCAAGGAGGUUCACUUUUAAAAGCUUCUUUUCACUGCCAUUUAUGUUAGGAUCUUUAGAUUUAUCUGGGAUUUUAUCAAUUUAUGAUAUAUUUAUUAUGCAUUCUCUUGGGAUAAGAUUGAUAGCUCAUAGCUUUUAGUAAUAUGGUGCAGAUAUCUGUGAGCCAAUAUAAAUAGAUAAGUGAUAACAGUAUGAACCAGUUCUUAUUUUUUCCUUUUAAACUUUUUAUCACAAUAAGUGAUAAAUGGAUUAUUUUUAUUAUAAUUUUGUCAUUUUAAGGAUUUUUCUAAUGAUGAUGAAUGUUGUUUCCGCUUUAGGUGUGUAAGACUACCAUGGUAAAACCUUGACUGACAAUUCUUUGCUACCAAAACAUACUGGUACUUCAGACAAAGAGGUGCAACCGAGCCUGGUUUUGCUGAGUUGGAGGUCAACUUUGACCCAUGACAGGUUGGGUCUGGUUGUGGAGGGUUAGGCUGUGAGUUUUACCAGAUAAAAAAUAUGAGGGUAAAUAAAUUUGGUAAUAAACAGAACUUGAAGUUACAGAUAGCAUAAUCACAUAUUGCUAAAUUGGUUAGGUUUGAGUUUGUCAGUCUAAAUUUGGUUGAAUUGGGUUGUGUUGUGGGUCAAUCCUAAUCAAUCCUGAGAUAAUGCUGGGUUGAGAUUGCCCAACCCUAGUUUCACAAAACCCAGUCUGAUGAUUGGAUUGGUUUAAACCCAACCAAGCUGCCGCCCUGUUUUGACAUAAUAUCUUUUUGAUUUUAGUCUUGUCUUAUUACCUCAGCCUCAUCUUUUCCGUGUGGAUAUUUGCAUUUAAUUUAAAUUAUAUUGCACGUGAAAUAACUUUUAUUUUUGCCAUUAAUUAAUUAUUUAGAACAAUCUCUGUACGCUGUUGAAUUUAAAUACUUAUUUUGUAGUGAAUGGCUAGGGAAUUAUGAGCAGAGAAACCUCCCAUGGUUUAUCUUCUUUUAUAGUACAACAUCAUGGAAUGCGUUUAGUUACAAGUUAUCAUCCAUUGGUUUGGGGCAUUUUAUUAAUGAUAAGAAACCAAUAUAAUUUCUUCCAAUGCAGACCAAAACUUUGUCUAGAAACUGACCUGUCAAUCUUCUAGAAUGAUAAUUUUUUUACCAUCUUAGGUGUUGCUUUUAUGGUUCUCCACGGUUGACGAUCUUGUGUAAAUUCCUAUGUCAUACCUUUUGACCGUAUCAGUAUUGUUCGUUCUUAUUGGAUG
rnacentral:lncRNA from 1 species